rnacentral:tRNA from 1 species
GCGGUCGUGGCGGAAUUGGUAGACGCGCAGCGUUGAGGUCGCUGUGGGCGCAAGCCCGUGGAAGUUCGAGUCUUCUCGACCGCACCA